rnacentral:lncRNA from 1 species
CUCGCCCCUCCAAACCAUCGCAACGCCAUUUGACCCCCACUGAUCGAAAGCCCCUAAAGUGACGCUCCUUGUCCCUUCACUCAUGUUUCUCGGUUUAGAUUUCCUCAAACCCAAACCAAAACCUUCGAAAAAUCCAAAAAAAAAAUGGAAUAAACAGAAACUUGAUCCACCGUCGUCUGUCCUCAUAUCAGUCUCGUUUUCCAGUAUGAAGUUCUUCACCAUCCAAUGAAGCUUUUCACCGUUGGGAUCGUCAAAAUGGACAUCUCAAACCCCUUGGACCGGUCAAAUCCAAACAGGUUGUGUUCUCACCUUUACUUUUUUUUAUUUAUUUAGUGUAUAACUCUUCAUUUUGUUCUUGAUGUUUCAGCCAUAACCCUCUGCUUCUUGAUUGUCAUUCUUCAUUCCUUUCCCCUUAUCUUUUGCUUUGAGUUUGUCUUCCAUUGCCUUAAUAAAUCCGACUUCUUGAUUUAUAUUGUUAGGGCUUGCUUUCGUGCUGUGAAACUAUGCCAUUGUGGAAGGUCACGAAGUUCAAGAUGAAGAUUUGAAGAACUAGCCAUGGCCUUUUCAAGUUCAUUUUCAGAUAUUAUUGUAUUUGUUGUUGAAAAUUAUUAUAUUUGCCGUUCUUCAUUAAUUUGUAACAAAUUUAUCUUAAAAAAAACUAGUUUCUAUUAGUUUUGUCGAAACCACUUUUUUUUUUUAAAUCGAGG